UCGAGGGGUAUAAGUAGCAAUACUUAGAGACCGGCGCACGGGUGAGUAACGCGUAUGCAACCUGCCCUUUACUGGAGGAUAGCCCGUAGAAAUGCGGAUUAAUACCCCAUAGUAAUGUUGGAUCGCAUGAUCUGGCAUUUAAAGUUUCGGCGGUAAAGGAUGGGCAUGCGUGACAUUAGCUAGUUGGAGAGGUAACGGCUCACCAAGGCUUCGAUGUCUAGGGGUUCUGAGAGGAAGAUCCCCCACACUGGUACUGAGACACGGACCAGACUCCUACGGGAGGCAGCAGUGAGGAAUAUUGGUCAAUGGGCGAGAGCCUGAACCAGCCAUCCCGCGUGCAGGAAGAAUGCCCUAUGGGUUGUAAACUGCUUUUUCGCAUGAAGAACACCCCUGACGUGUCAGGGGCUGACGGUAAUGCGUGAAUAAGCACCGGCUAACUCCAUGCCAGCAGCCGCGGUAAUACGGAGGGUGCAAGCGUUAUCCGGAUUUAUUGGGUUUAAAGGGUGCGUAGGCGGCUAUUUAAGUCAGUGGUGAAAUCCUGCAGCUUAACUGUAGAACAGCCAUUGAAACUGAAUAGCUUGAGUGAUCUUGAGGUAGGCGGAAUGUGUAGUGUAGCGGUGAAAUGCUUAGAUAUUACACAGAACACCGAUUGCGAAGGCAGCUUACUAAGGAUUUACUGACGCUGAUGCACGAAAGCGUGGGGAUCAAACAGGAUUAGAUACCCUGGUAGUCCACGCCGUAAACGAUGAUAACUCGCUGUUGGCGAUACACAGUCAGCGGCUUAGCGAAAGCGUUAAGUUAUCC
rnacentral:rRNA from 1 species